rnacentral:rRNA from 1 species
AUGUGGGAACUUGUACUACUAUGUUGUGGUCACCAUCAGGAUUCCGUUGUCAGUCUUGUUAUUAUCGAUGUGAGCAAUGUGUCUGUGCGUGUGAGAUGGACGGCUGGAAGAGUACCAAUGAAGCCCUUUCUACAGAUCCAGGGAUGUGAUUGUCUUGUUCAUCCAUAUCACGAGGUAAUUGUUGUAUACUCAACAGCAGAUGAAUCUCUAAAUUCACUAAGCUCCCAGGGUAUCGAUUUGGCCGGCUGUUACCGAUUUAGAUUGGGUCAAGUGCGGGGAGGGAGGCCUUUGCUGGUCAAGCGCGGGGAGUGUCGUGGAGGCUGGGAGGCAUUGGCAGAAUACGUGCUGUGA